ACGAACGCUGGCGGCGUGCUUAACACAUGCAAGUCGCACGGAAAGGCCCUGCUUGCAGGGUACUCGAGUGGCGAACGGGCGAGUAACACGUGGGUGAUCUGCCCUGCACUUCGGGAUAAGCCUGGGAAACUGGGUCUAAUACCGGAUAGGAGCCAUUUUUAGUGUGAUGGUUGGAAAGUUUUUUCGGUGUAGGAUGAGCUCGCGGCCUAUCAGCUUGUUGGUGGGGUAAUGGCCUACCAAGGCGGCGACGGGUAGCCGGCCUGAGAGGGUGGACGGCCACAUUGGGACUGAGAUACGGCCCAGACUCCUACGGGAGGCAGCAGUGGGGAAUAUUGCACAAUGGGCGCAAGCCUGAUGCAGCGACGCCGCGUGGGGGAUGACGGCCUUCGGGUUGUAAACUCCUUUCGCUAGGGACGAAGCUUUUUGUGACGGUACCUAGAUAAGAAGCACCGGCUAACUACGUG
rnacentral:rRNA from 1 species